rnacentral:rRNA from 1 species
AUUGAACGCUGGCGGCAUGCUUUACACAUGCAAGUCGAACGGCAGCGCGGGCUUCGGCCUGGCGGCGAGUGGCGAACGGGUGAGUAAUGCAUCGGAACGUGCCCAGUAGUGGGGGAUAGCCCGGCGAAAGCCGGAUUAAUACCGCAUACGACCUGAGGGUGAAAGCGGGGGACCGAAAGGCCUCGCGCUAUUGGAGCGGCCGAUGUCGGAUUAGCUAGUUGGUGGGGUAAAGGCUUACCAAGGCGACGAUCCGUAGCUGGUCUGAGAGGACGACCAGCCACACUGGGACUGAGACACGGCCAAGACUCCUACGGGAGGCAGCAGUGGGGAAUUUUGGACAAUGGGGCAACCCUGAUCCAGCCAUGCCGCGUGCGGGAAGAAGGCCUUCGGGUUGUAAACCGCUUUUGUUCGGGAAGAAAUCCUCUGGGCUAAUACCCCGGGGGGAUGACGGUACCGGAAGAAUAAGCACCGGCUAACUACGUG